AUUGAACGCUGGCGGCAUGCCUUACACAUGCAAGUCGAACGGUAACGCGGGGGCAACCCUGGCGACGAGUGGCGAACGGGUGAGUAAUGCAUCGGAACGUGCCCAGUAGUGGGGGAUAGCUCGGCGAAAGCCGGAUUAAUACCGCAUACGACCUACGGGUGAAAGCGGGGGAUCGCAAGACCUCGCGCUAUUGGAGCGGCCGAUAUCAGAUUAGGUAGUUGGUGGGGUAAAGGCCUACCAAGCCUACGAUCUGUAGCUGGUCUGAGAGGACGACCAGCCACACUGGGACUGAGACACGGCCCAGACUCCUACGGGUGGCUG
rnacentral:rRNA from 1 species